rnacentral:lncRNA from 1 species
AUGUAUAACACUCGGAAAAUAUACUAUAUACAGUAUACUGUCAUCAAAUACCUGUAUUGGACAGGCAGGAAAUACAUUCACAGAGGCAGAUGCUCCUCCUGGGCUUGGAAGGGCUGGCCAACUGGGCUCAGAUGCACUUCAAGCCGGCAUAAUCCAGCCAGCUGCUCUUCAUACAUUCACAAGAACAACCCAAGACUUGGAAACCCUUCAACUCAGCAAGGUUAGCCUUCCCAAUACACUGCCACGGAGGAACUAUUAACAAGUCUGUUUUUUCUUAUGCACUUGAAGAAACCCAGUAAGGUAGUUGACUUUUUCCUUUAAAAGACUAAAGUAUCAAAGUAGCUUGUAAGAUUGGAGUGAAAGCUGAAUUGUACCUUCAGUGUUUGUUUCAUCCAAUAUUUGCCUGACUUGUAACACAUACAUAAAACUGAAAUAUCAGUCUGUCAAAAUUGUGAUAACCAAAAAUCACAAAUAAUUAUCCAUUAUUUUAAAUUUAAAAAAGAAAGAAGCUACAUAGUCAGAGAGCCAUAGUUACCAUUAUUAAGCCUUGGAAUAGGAACUGUCAAAAUACAAUACAUUGAGUUCAUAACUCUAUUUAAUAAUAAUUAUUGAUAAAAGUAUGACAAUCAUAAGAGCACCGAAAAUGGAUCUAAAGAAAUAUAUUACAACAUUUGAAUAAACAAUUAUUGGUUCAGAUUGGUUCAAACAUGCAUGCCUUCUUUACAUCAGUCUGACAUUUAGGUGCAUUAUCCUAUUUAAUAAUAAACUGUUGGGUUCCGGAUCACUUGUGGCUUGUUUCUCCCUGCAGGGGGGCGUGGAGGAGCCAAUCAUCAUCCACAGCAGGCGGACGCAUCUUUCCAUCAACCGUUCCAUUUAGAGACAGAGCACCCGUCUGCCAAGAGUGUUUUGUUCUCCUCAUGGUAACUUGCUAACGUUGUCACUCGGUUGAGGUCUCCACGCCUACCUGCGGACAUGAACUGCUCGGCGAACUAAUGGUCCGCAUUGGAUCCGCGCUGGAGCUCCCAGUGCGUCCUGGAGGACCAAUCGAGAGAUUCUCUGAAUGACCCAGCAGAACCUUGUGUACCUUGUGUUUCGAAUAAAGGCGCUUUUACGACACUAUUCCCCACUGUGUGUUGCCUGCUCUUGGGUCCUGAGACAACCAGUUCUAACAAACGACAUAUUUAGUCAUAUUUCUUGUCCUGAUUCUAAUCCUUCUCCAUCUUCUCAUAAUAGAGUAAAUAUGCUGUUUUCUGUCGCUGCUGGCACACGUGGUUAAAAGUCGUUUCUUUGACAAUGUCGUCAUCAUAUGUCACCCAGCAGGCAUUCCCAUCCCCUUGGCCUGCAUUUCGAUAAACUCCGUCACAAAUGUAAUGGCCUGUGAAGGAAGGAACUGCUUUGUUAGUGGUCAAACAAGGAGAACAUUGGUUUUCAACACAGUACUGACAGCUAAACACUGACCGCUGGUAGUGCAACUCCCCAAAUGGUUGACGAUGCUCUUCAGAGUAUAUUUUGUCUACAGAAAAUCAAAAGAACAAGCCAUUAGCUCCACUCUUUGAGCCAUUUCAGACUGAUGACUGCUUCAAGGUUUAUCAAGGGUUUACCUUCUCACUGCUCUGAUUUGUAUGGAGCAGCAGCUCCCUGGAUAAACAUGUGGCUUUGUGAAUUUUUUGCGCAGCAAAGUAGGACCACUUAAAUCUCAAUAGGUGGAUGAUCAGCACACUAUCGAGAAGAAAAGGGGAGGGAAGAGGAGAUGUAGAGACAGUUAGGGCCUUUAGAAGGCAGCAGAUGUGAGGAUGCUGAGAUGGCUGGUUCUCACUUUGGCAGAGUGAAGAAGGAUCUUUGCUCUGUCGUCUGGGAGGCGCCACAGUCACAUUUGUAAUCCAGCAGUUGCUCCUGCAGAAUCAACAACAGUCGUGAGGUUCAACAGCUCCUCCAUCAUUCACACAUGAACACCAAACAUGUGUCCCUUACUUUCAGGUACAGCUGUAUUCCUUGCAUGAUGGUGUCCUCAGGCGCCACGGACAGGUUCAAACACUCCUCCACAUUUUCAGAUUUAUGGCCACAACUGUGAAUUCAAGAGAGGAUUCAAAUAACUAAGGAUUCAACUAAACAAGUUCAACACCUAUGCAGGAGCAGAAGGUUUCCAGGUAUAUUCCCACCUGUGGCACAGCAUGGUGCUCAACAUCUGGAAGCUGAUGUGAGCCUCCACAGGGCAGGUGUAGCUCUGCUCUUUGUCAGUUGCCAUUGACCUGAGCUCUGUAGAGACGGAGCUGAGCUGUUCCAGGACGGUGUUCAAAAAUUCGUGGGCAUCCUGC